ensembl:lncRNA
GGAAAUUCUCUCCGUCUCUUCUCCUUUCUUGUUCGAGCUCCCUCCCCAAGCACGGCCGGGGCUGGAUCGCCCUCGACUGCUUUCUCCCCCCGGCUUGCGGAAGCAGGGAGAAAGUUGGGCGCCGCUGGGAGCGCCUCUUCCCCCGCUGUGUGUGUACGUGUGCACGCUCACGUCUCCCCCGCGCCGAGGCCGGGGACAGGAACUGCUCCGGGCACCGUCAGUCCGACGGCGCAGCUCUGGGGGCUCGUAGGGCAGGGGGAGGGCGGGGACGCGAGCGCAGCGCCACUCACCCCGGGUGACGCGCUUUCGCCCCUCCCCCGCCGUCUCCACCCUCCUGCUGGAGAACAGAGACAAAACUCCAGGAGGAAGUGUCCCAGGAUCUGCCGGAUCUCUACAAGGAGUGCUCAUGGGGCCUGGAGGGGAGGCCCUCUGGCCUUGGAGCACUGUGGCACUUUCUCUAUGAUGGGUUUGGUCGGAGAACUAUGAGGGAGCUGAGGCCUGAUCUUGGAAGGUAGAUUGAGACGACACAGGGCGGAGCAGCUGGCUGUGGGCAGGGCA